GCAGCUGUAGAGAAGGAGGAGGAGAGGAAAGGAAAAAAGAAAGUCAGAACAAUUGUAAGCAGAGGUCCAUAUUCAUGAUAAGACAGAACAAUUGUAAGCAGAGGCCCAUAUUCAUGAUAAGACAGAACAAUUGUAAGCAGAGGCCCAUAUUCAUGAUAAGACAGAACAAUUGUAAGCAGAGGCCCAUAUUCAUGAUAAGACAGAACAAUUGUAAGCAGAGGCCCAUAUUCAUGAUAAGACAGAACAAUUGUAAGCAGAGGCCCAUAUUCAUGAUAAGACAGAACAAUUGUAAGCAGAGGCCCAUAUUCAUGAUAAGACAGAACAAUUGUAAGCAGAGGCCCAUAUUCAUGAUAAGACAGAACAAUUGUAAGCAGAGGCCCAUAUUCAUGAUAAGACAGAACAAUUGUAAGCAGAGGCCCAUAUUCAUGAUAAGACAGAACAAUUGUAAGCAGAGGCCCAUAUUCAUGAUAAGACAGAACAAUUGUAAGCAGAGGCCCAUAUUCAUGAUAAGACAGAACAAUUGUAAGCAGAGGCCCAUAUUCAUGAUAAGACAGAACAAUUGUAAGCAGAGGCCCAUAUUCAUGAUAAGACAGAACAAUUGUAAGCAGAGGCCCAUAUUCAUGAUAAGACAGAACAAUUGUAAGCAGAGGCCCAUAUUCAUGAUAAGACAGAACAAUUGUAAGCAGAGGCCCAUAUUCAUGAUAAGACAGAACAAUUGUAAGCAGAGGCCCAUAUUCAUGAUAAGACAGAACAAUUGUAAGCAGAGGCCCAUAUUCAUGAUAAGACAGAACAAUUGUAAGCAGAGGCCCAUAUUCAUGAUAAGACAGAACAAUUGUAAGCAGAGGCCCAUAUUCAUGAUAAGACAGAACAAUUGUAAGCAGAGGCCCAUAUUCAUGAUAAGACAGAACAAUUGUAAGCAGAGGCCCAUAUUCAUGAUAAGACAGAACAAU